AUACGGAGGGUGCAAGCGUUACUCGGAAUCACUGGGCGUAAAGCGCGCGCAGGCGGUCUUUUAAGUUGGAUGUGAAAGCCUACGGCUCAACCGUAGAACUGCAUCCAAAACUAUUAGACUAGAGUGUGGGAGAGGAAGAUGGAAUUAGCUGUGUAGGGGUAAAAUCCGUAGAGAUAACUAGGAAUACCAAAAGCGAAGGCAAUCUUCUGGAACACUACUGACGCUGAGGCGCGAAAGCGUGGGGAGCAAACAGGAUUAGAAACCCUAGUAGUCC
rnacentral:rRNA from 1 species